UGGUAUACCGUUGUCCGUCCGUCUGUCCGUCCGUUCGUUGUCCACACUUCGGACAAUAACUCAAAAACACUUUCACCAAUUUCCAUGAAACUAAAGUGAAUUGUUUAUAUCUAUUGGCGUAAGCUCCCUUUCGUUUUUUUUUUAAUUUCAGAUUUUAAGUUUUGGAUUUAUGGGGCUUUAUUCAUAAAAAAAGGGGGGAUUUUCAACACUUCGGACAAUAACUCAAAAAGGCUUUCACCAAUGUCCAUGAAACUUUGGUGAAUUGUUUAUACAUUUUAUCUAUUGAUGUAAGCUCCCUUUUAAUUUUUAUAAAUUUCAGAUUUUAAGUUUUGGAUUUAUGGGGCUUUAUUCAUAAAAAAGGGGGAUUUUCAACACUUCGGACAAUAACUCAAAAAGGCUUUCACCAAUGUCCAUGAAACUUUGGUGAAUUGUUUAUAUCUAUUGAUGUAAGCUCCCUUUCAAUUUUUAUAAAUUUCAGAUUUUAAGUUUUGGAUUUAUGGGGCUUUAUUCAUAAAAAAAGGGGGAUUUUCAACACUUCGGACAAUAACUCAAAAAGGCUUUCACCAAUGUCCAUGAAACUUUGGUGACUUGUUUAUAUCUAUUGAUGUAAGCUCCCUUUCAAUUUUUAUAAAUUUCAGCUUUUACAUUUCCG
rnacentral:lncRNA from 1 species